AUUGAACGCUGGCGGCAGGCCUAACACAUGCAAGUCGAGCGAGCGGCGGACGGGUGAGUAAUGUCUGGGAAACUGCCUGAUGGAGGGGGAUAACUACUGGAAACGGUAGCUAAUACCGCAUACCAUCAGAUGUGCCCAGAUGGGCUUAGCUAGUAGGUGGGGUAACGGCUCCCCUAGGCGACGAUCCCUAGCUGGUCUGAGAGGAUGACCAGCCACCCUGGACCUGAUGCCCGGUCCAGACUCCUACGGGCGUCAGCCGUGGGGAUUAUUGCACAAUUGGCGCAAGCCUGAUGCCGCCAUGCCGCGUGUGUGAAGAAGGCCUUCGGUUUGUAAAGCACUUUCAGCGGGUAGGCGUUACCCGCAGAAGAAGCACCGGCUAACUCCGUGCCAGCAGCCGCGGUAAUUC
rnacentral:rRNA from 1 species